CCAAAGGCUCUUUUCAGAGCCACCCACUUUGUCAAAGAAGAGCUGU
rfam:Camelus ferus unplaced genomic scaffold scaffold595, whole genome shotgun sequence.